GUGACUGAGUGAGAUACGGUGGAACCAAGGACUCUAGGUUAACCCUGAAAGAGUUAACAAGUAUUGAGUGUUAACCGAGACCAAGGUACUCCCAUAUCUCACAGAAAGUCCGCUUUAAAGUGGCCGAGUGAGAUACGGUGGAACCAAGGACUCUAGGUUAACCCUGAAAGAGUUAACAAGUAUUGAGUGUUAGCCGAGACCAAGGUACCUCCGUAUCUCACAGAAAGUCCGCCUUAGACUGGUUGUUAAGAGAGGAAAUCCUCCACGCGAAGGUCAGGAAUUGAAGUGACCGAGUGAGAUACGGCAGAACCAAGGACUCGCGGUUA